rnacentral:pre_miRNA from 1 species
AUGUAGUGUAGCAUGCCCGUUUGUGGAAUUACUCUGAUGUUGAAUUAAUUAUUAUUAUUAUUUAAUUGUUUUUGGGUAACGGGGCGUUACAUUCUU